rnacentral:lncRNA from 1 species
AUGCUGUUCCUCUAAAAUUUGCACAAUUAGCAACUGAUUUAGGUGAUACCCCACCAGUAUUAUGCUCUACAUACGUUUAUUGCGGUACGAAACGUAAAAGAUCUACAAGUGGCGAUUGUAUGGUUAGGUCAACUCCAUCGUCUAAGAGAUCAAGUAGUAGUCUCAGUGAUAUUUCCAGUUUUGAUAUUAAUUUGCCCACAAAACUUGAAACUGAAUUGACGGAGAAGG